GACGAACGCUGGCGGCGUGCCUAAUACAUGCAAGUUGAGCGCUGAAGGUUGGUACUUGUACCAACUGGAUGAGCAGCGCACGGGUGAGUAACGCGUGGGGAAUCUGCCUUUGAGCGGGGGACAACAUUUGGAAACGAAUGCUAAUACCGCAUAAAAACUUUAAACACAAGUUUUAAGUUUGAAAGAUGCAAUUGCAUCACUCAAAGAUGAUCCCGCGUUGUAUUAGCUAGUUGGUGAGGUAAAGGCUCACCAAGGCGAUGAUACAUAGCCGACCUGAGAGGGUGAUCGGCCACAUUGGGACUGAGACACGGCCCAAACUCCUACGGGAGGCAGCAGUAGGGAAUCUUCGGCAAUGGACGAAAGUCUGACCGAGCAACGCCGCGUGAGUGAAGAAGGGUUUCGGAUCGUAAAACUCUGUUGGUAGAGAAGAACGUUGGUGAGAGUGGAAAGCUCAUCAAGUGACGGUAACUACACAGAAAGGGACGGCUAACUACGUG
rnacentral:rRNA from 1 species